ACGGGUGAGUAACGCGUGGGUAACCUGCCUUAUACAGGGGGAUAACAGUUGGAAACGACUGCUAAUACCGCAUAAGCGCACAGUGCUGCAUGGCACGGUGUGAAAAGAUUUAUCGGUAUAAGAUGGACCCGCGUCUGAUUAGCUAGUUGGUGAGGUAAUGGCUCACCAAGGCGACGAUCAGUAGCCGGCUUGAGAGAGUGAACGGCCACAUUGGGACUGAGACACGGCCCAAACUCCUACGGGAGGCAGCAGUGGGGAAUAUUGCACAAUGGGGGAAACCCUGAUGCAGCGACGCCGCGUGAGUGAAGAAGUAUUUCGGUAUGUAAAGCUCUAUCAGCAGGGACGAAGAAAUGACGGUACCUGACUAAGAAGCCCCGGCUAACUACGUGCCAGCAGCCGCGGUAAUACGUAGGGGGCAAGCGUUAUCCGGAUUUACUGGGUGUAAAGGGAGCGUAGACGGUGAUGUAAGUCAGAUGUGAAAGCCCAGGGCUCAACCCUGGGACUGCAUUUGAAACUAUGUGACUAGAGUGCAGGAGAGGUAAGUGGAAUUCCUAGUGUAGCGGUGA
rnacentral:rRNA from 1 species